rnacentral:rRNA from 1 species
UGAGGAGUAUUGCUCAAUGGGCGAAAGCCUGAAGCAGCAACGCCGCGUGCGCGAUGAAGGUCUUCGGAUCGUAAAGCGCUUUUGAGAGGGACGAGAUAGGACGGUACCUCUUGAAUAAGUCACGGCUAACUACGUGCCAGCAGCCGCGGUAAAACGUAGGUGGCAAGCGUUAUCCGGAUUCACUGGGCGUAAAGCGCGUGCAGGUGGCUUCGUAAGUUGGACGUUAAAUCUUUCGGCCUAACCGGGAGGUGUCGUUCAAUACUGCGGGGCUUGAGGGUAGAAGAGGGGGGUGGAAUUGCCGGUGUAGUGGUGAAAUGCGUAGAUAUCGGCAGGAACACCUGUGGCGAAAGCGGCCCCCUGGUCUGCUCCUGACACUCAGACGCGAAAGCUAGGGGAGUGAACG